rnacentral:SRP_RNA from 1 species
GCCGGGCAUGGUGGCGGGCACCUGUAGUCCCAGCUACUCGGGAGGCCGAAGCUGGAGGAUCGCUUGAGCCCAGGAGUUCUGGGCUGCAGUGCGCUAUGCCGUUUGGGUGUCCGCACUAAGGUCGGCAUCAAUACGGUGACCCUCCGGGAGCGGGGGACCACCACGUUGCCUAAGGAGGGGUGAACUGGCCCAGGUCAGAAACAACGAAGCAAGUCGAAACUCCCUUGCUGAUUGGAGUUCCCGUCGUGGCGCAGUGGUGAACGAAUCCGACUAGGAACCAUGAGGUUGUGGGUUCGAU